UACGGAGGGUGCAAGCGUUGUUCGGAAUCACUGGGCGUAAAGGGCGUGUAGGCGGUCCGCUAAGUCUGAUGUGAAAGCCCGGGGCUCACCCCCCGGAAGGGCAUUGGAAACUGGCGGACUCGAGUCUCGGAGAGGAAGGUGGAAUUCCGUGGUGUAGCGGUGAAAUGCGUAGAUAUCAGGAGGAAUACCGGUGGCGAAGGCGGCCUUCUGGACGAUGACUGACGCUGGAGACGCGAAAGCGUGGGGAGCAAACAGG
rnacentral:rRNA from 1 species